GCGUUCAUAGCUCAGUUGGUUAGAGCACCACCUUGACAUGGUGGGGGUCGGUGGUUCGAGUCCACUCGGACGCACCA
rnacentral:tRNA from 141 species